GACGAACCGUGCGAACGUUGUUCGGAAUCACUGGGCUUAAAGGGCGCGUAGGCGGGCUGCCAAGUCUGGGGUGAAAUCCCACGGCUCAACCGUGGAACUGCCUCGGAUACUGGCGGCCUCGAGGGAGGUAGGGGCGUGCGGAACUGUGGGUGGAGCGGUGAAAUGCGUUGAUAUCCACAGGAACUCCGGUGGCGAAGGCGGCACGCUGGACCUUUUCUGACGCUGAGGCGCGAAAGCCAGGGGAGCAAACAGG
rnacentral:rRNA from 1 species